CUCUUUCUCGAUUCAGUGGAUGGUGGUGCAUGGCCGUUCUUAGUUGGUGGAGUGAUCUGUCUGGUUAAUUCCGAUAACGAACGAGACUCUCCCCUGCUAACUAGUCGGUUGGAUCUUGAUCAGUGGGUUGAGUGCCGAGUAACUCUCGCUGUGCGUGUUGUGCGUCUCGUUCCUCACGGUUCGUUGCGUGCUCAUGUGUGGCGUUGGAUGCCUUGGAUCACACUGCACCCCAAGUCCGCCGCUUUGCUAUAACUCUUCUUAGAGGGAUUCACGGCACUGAAGCCGUAAGAGACUGAGAGCAAUAACAGGUCUGUGAUGCCCUUAGAUGCUCUGGGCCGCACGCGCGCUACAAUGCCGGGCACAGCAGGUGUUUCUCCUGCUCCGACAGGAGCGGGUAACCCUCUGAAAGCCAGUGUUCUUGCAAGUGCUUCCUCCCUCGUGGAGUUGCACAGAGGCGUGCUUGGGCCUGGGACUUGCAAUUCUUUCCCACCAACGAGGAAUGCCUAGUAGCGGCGGGUCACUGAGCCCGCUGUGACUCAGUCCCUGCCCUUUGUACACACCGCCCGUCGCUACUACCGAUUGGGUGUACCAGUGAGAGCCUUGGACUGGCGUCCGUUGUUGCUCGCAAGAGUGACAAGCGGGUCCGACGGAAAGAGGUCCGAACUGGUGCACUUAGAGGAAGUAAAAGUCGUAACAAGGUUUCCGUAGGUGAACCUGCGGAAGGA
rnacentral:rRNA from 1 species